rnacentral:lncRNA from 1 species
UCAUUCUGGAGCUAAAUUAGCUAAUUUUGUCAUUUUGGAGGACAAUAAGCUAAGUAUAUAUUUGUUGGGAAAAUAAGCUAAGGAGAAAAAGAAAGAGGAGAAGAAAGAGGAGGAGAAGAAGAAGAAGAAGAAGAAGAAGAAGGAGAAGGAGAAGAAGGAGAAGAAGAAGGAGGAGGAGGAGUAGGAGAAGAAGAAGAAGAAGACGAAGAAGAAGAGGAAGAGGAAGAGGAUGAUUACAAUACAUUUCUUAUUUUGAGCUCAUUAUGUCAUUUAUGAGGAAGGUAUGCUAAGGUACGAGUUAACAAAGGUUCUUCAGAUGUUUUUACCUAACUAAGCUAAUUAUGUCAUUUUGGAGCUCAAGUAGCUAAUUAUGUCAUUUUGGGGCU